GUUCAAAUAUGGUCAGAUAAAUUAGUUUGUUAACUGAAAGAUAAAUUUAAGACAUAUAAAUUCCUGUUCUUUAAUUAAGCUUGUAAUUCUAAACCACUGUUUAAAAUACAAGUAGUAUUCUAGGAGUUCCUGAAUGCUUGCAUAGUGGAAGUAAAGCUGAAGGCUUGUGUUUUGUUGUAACAUUAAGUAUCCUUUAAAAGGUAGGUCAGUAUAUCAUUAGCAUUUAUUAUGUUAUACUUUAAAAUUAGUUUUCUCAAAAUUAGUUUUCUCAAACAAGUGAAGAUAGCUGUCAGGCACUAGGCAUAUUAUUCUGUGGAAGAGAACUGAACUAACUGAACUGAACUGUGAAAUGUGCAUUUGACGCUGAAGUUGGAUAAUUUUAUGCACACAUUUUUUAAAUACAUCCAUUUGUAGGUUACCCCACAAAAUACUGUGAAUAUGUCUAUGUAGAAAUACUAAGAACACACAAUGCUAGCGUGCCCUAUUACUUAAUUUACAGAUGUUUUAUUUUAAUGAAAUAGUGGGCUACAAACUUAACCAUCUUUGUGUUAAUAAGAAAAUGGUUUUGUUUAUGUUAAACAAUUGUACUCUUCAGUCAGUUAAAACAAACCAACAAGCUAAUAACAUUGUUAGGUAGGUCUCUCCUAAAUCUGAAGAAGUUUCUGUUUAUCUUCUGCCAUGACUGAAGAAAGUUCUAGCAUGAGCAAUUACCAAGGCUGAGUAUUUGUGCAGUACUGCAGUCCUAAUAGAAAGCAGAGAUGUCUGGAGUAAUCAGAAAAAAAGUGUGUGGGCCUGACUCUGGUCAAAUGAUAUAAAAAAAAUAUUACAGAUGAGGCAAAUUAAAGGUGUUCUAAGAUCGCACAGAUGAGCAACCUUUCCAAUGGUUCUCAAAGAGGGCAGUCUUGUGAGCAACCCAGUGUCUAAAUCCCCCAGAACUGAAGGGAGGCAUAGAUUGACUCUUCUUCUGAGGAGCCCUGUUCUUCCCCUCUCCCGAACUAACUCAAGAGAAAAAGUACCAGGCUUUUAAAUGCACUGUCUUGUUAGGGUGGCCUGUCGUGCACUCAUGUAAGGGUGGGAUGGAGAUCGAACUGAGUGACCCUGUGCAAGGCAGAGGGAAGGGAGGGCAGGAGGCGAAGCCCUCUGCCAUGUUUCUCUUCAGGUGGCAAAAAAAAAUUCAAACUGGUUUGGCUGUUCCUGAAGCCGCAGCGUUGGGGUUACAGGCAGGCCUCUUUUUUCUAAGAGAUGCUUUCAUUUUGUGUGCAAAAGGGGCAACUCAUCAUUUUGAUCAAAGGAGGUCAGUGAAUACAGGAGACUAUAAAAUGUAUGAGAGUUUUAGGAACAGAUUUCAGGCUUGGCUGCCUGUAAGGCCAUGACAUGAAUGAUAUCACAGAACUGGCCUUGCUCUGCUUCAGAUCAAAGCUUUGCAAUCUUCUCCCCAUUUUACUUCUACUUCCAGAUAAUUGUGGACAAGCACAGCAGGGCACUGUCUGUCUGACACAUCUAAAUAAAUUCUUAAUGCGGAAAUUCCUGUUCAAAGCAUUGCCCCAUUACCCUCCUCAGUGGUUGUGUUUUGUAGAUGGAAGGAAGCCAUUUUGUUUUCACAACUUCUGUUGUUACUGUUUGAUUCUCCCCUGGGUAUCUCUUUUUCCAGGAUUACAGUAGCAGUAUGUUAGUUUUGGAAAGAGUAAAAUAAACUGGUCUGUUCCUGGAAAUCAAAGUAAUGCUUUAUGCAAUGAAGAGAGACAUGGUGCUGUGGCCCCUGUACGUAGUACUCUGGAUUGAGGAGUGACUGGGAGACGUGGCACUGGCCAUGCUGAGUGUUUCCAGGUACAAGGCUAUGCCCAAAAAAACAUAAAUGGAAGACACAGUUGUCAGCAGUGAGGAUUUAAGUGAUAUCACAGAAACAAAGCCUAGCUGCUCCUGAUACCUAUCGAAGUAUUUGCUGUCUUUCAGAGGCAGAUUGGUUGAGUUACAGUGGUUGAGUUACUUAUCUGGUGGCUCUGGAUGUCUCCUUUCUAUGUCCUCAUCUGCUGUGAGGAUCAUGCACUUCCAUACCUUUUUGCAGUAAAGAGCAAUUUCUGUUUGAAGGAAUCUUCCUGAUUUGGCUGAGGCAAAGGGCAUUUGAGGGUCUUCUCCAUUUACGUGCUGCUCCCUCAGGUGUCGCACUGCUCCUGCCUGCAUGAAUAGCCAGCAUGUGCUGAUGUUACCAGUAUAUCAAAUAUCUGAGGGAGCACAGGAGAAUGAGAAAAGCAGAGGUGAAAAGAGCAGAUGAAGGAGAGGAAUGCUCCGUUACAGUGUACUGUAUAUCCACACUGGAACACUCUGCUCUGUUUCCUGGAGAAGCAGACUCUUCCUGACUCUGAUCUGCUUCCUGGAAGCAGAAGUCCCAUUCUAAUGGAUUUCUGGACCUUGAUGUAAGGAAAAAAAAGAAAGAAAACUUUAAUGUUUACCAGAAAUUUUAUUUUCUUUACAGGAUCAACUAAGUCAGCUUAGCUAAUCUUGCUAAGAAAUGGAAAUUGACACUUUAGAGUUUGAAUUGCUACUACAUAGAAUAUAGCCUAUUUUGCAGAAUGAGAAAUUAAUUGAUAUGUGUUUAAAAUAAUCUAUUAUUUAGGAAAGCACUACUUACUGGAAAACACAAGGGUAAUGUAGUAUAACAACUUCAGAAAAAGUGGUGAUAUACAAGGAAAAUGACCAACCAUAUUAACAGAUCUGGAUGCAAGUGAAAAGCAUGUAUUUCAGACUUAAUUUUCCUUUGUGGCAGGUUUAACUCUUCUUACGUUGCUUAAUGGUGAGGAAUUCAAUUCGAUGUUACCUUUUGACUUUUCCAGCUGCACUCUUACUCUUGCUUAAUUUGUGUUCUUCGUGGCUUCAGGCUAUUCCAAGCUUCAAUACACAUGAGAAAACAAACAACCCCUGCCAUCCAAAAACUAACCUAGAACAAAGCCCCUCUAAAAGAGUUUUCCUUGCCUUUUUUUCCCCUGCUGUGACAUACAUAAUAUAUCUUGAUAUUUAAGAUAUCUUUAUUUAAGUUUUAUGUACUGUUUCUAUCCAGUAAACUUUAAAGGACUAAGAGUUGAUGCAUGCUUAAUUGCCCUUGCCAGUUAGGUGAGACUGAACUGCAUCUUUGUGAAAAGUUAUAAGAAAAAGAGUUUGCUUUAUAGUUUAAAAAAGGGUAUUGAUUUUGGUAAGGAGAACUUUACAUCCAGUGCCUGUAAAAUUUCCAGAAAUAUUUGAAAGACACAGCUAAAUUUUGAAAUGAAACUUUGGAAUUCAAGUGUAGUAUUCACAGUAGGACAUAGGCACUAUUCUGUUGUUUAAAAUGAGCCAUUUGUUUACUUCUGGAAAAUGUAAGAACUGUAAAGGAGCCAGUGUUGCAAAUUUGCUGUAAUCAAAACCCAAUGAGACUCAUUGGGAAAAAAACUCACCAUAUACUAGUGGAACAGAAGUUUAACAGAUGGGGCUAGGAAGAUUAUUUUUAGACAUGUAAAUUCAUUGAGUGUUAUCAGUAACACUUUCUCUUACUCGAACUGCAACCAAUGGUUUGUCAGUUUUUUCUGCCUCGCCCCUCAAAGGUUAGAUUAGUGUUUUACUAAUGAUUCCUUUUCUGUCUAUAACUUUUGUUUUCAAGAUCUACAGAUAUGAAAUAAAUAAUUAAAAAAAUCAAAGUGGAUUUUUUUCUACAGUAGAAAAGCAAUGCAAUAUGCUGUUAAACAGAUCCAUGGUGAAGAUAAUUGAAAGCUGUUGAGCAAAGCUCUAGAAAAUCAUUAUACAAAUACAAUCACAGUCUUUUUCAAGCUUUAUGGAUAACCUACUUUUAAAAUGGGCCCCAAGAGUAGAAAAAAUUCAGAUUAAAGAAUAGCGUACUUCUAUGUCUUUGGUUCUGUCUUCUGAAAUCUGAUUUUCCCAAAGCUCUGUAGAGAUUUCAAGGAGUAUACUGACUGUAUUUUGGUUGCUAUAAAAAAAAGCCCAAGGAAUUUGAAAAUACAGAAACAAGAAAGCGGCAAUUGAUCCUGGUGUUACACAGGAACAUCUGUCUGGAGUUUCAAAGGCAGCUGGCUAUCAGCUACGGCAGAUUUUCUGGCUGGCUGUGCAAGGACUGUAUGAGCUUGUUGUGUCUAUAUUAAAACUGCUAUUGUUCUCCUGCUGUGAAAUGACAGAUGGACAUGUCUAUCCUGAGAGAUCUGCGACUUUUGGCUGACUUGUAGUUUCGGAAUCCAUUCAUAAUACAGCUUGCCCUAGUCCUUCAAGAGGGAAGAAGAACAUAAAUAGAAAAAAAAAUGAAAUUUAUGGUGCCAGGCUAUAUUGCGAAAUCAUCAAAAGUAAAUUCCUUUCUUCUUUUUGAAGGCAAAUGGGUUGUUCUUCUGAAUGGGAGCUAUCAGGUUUUAGUUUAUUUUUCUAGGGAUAUAACAUAUAUACAUAUAUAUGUAGUGGAUAUUUUUCUUUGCCUUAGAUAAAACAAGUUAGUGUAGUAACAUAGAAAACCAGUACAAAGACAUGGAAUCCUGAAAAGUAUGGAGAUAAAUGAGACUGAAUUGAUUGAGAUGUUGGGAGGGGAAGGUAUCCAAUUCAGAAAGACAUGAUGUGAAUUAAUAUGUCAUUAGAAACAUGUUAAUUAGUUUUUUAAUUAUGUGAGCAUGUCUUAAUGUGUAGCAUAAAUAUAUGUUAAUUGGGUAAUAAAUAUAUUUUAUGUUUUUAUUUCA